UUCUUAUGACAGUUUUUAUUCUGUUGGGAACUGUAAUUGCACCAAUGUGUGAUGUAUAUGUCUCAAAGAAAUACUACGUGUUGGUCCAAGAUGUAAAGCUAAUCAGCAUGUUAAACUUUAACGCCUUCACAUUGCGAACAUGUUUGAGGAAGAAUGGUAAGGUUUUACAAGACGGUCGUGUCGGCAAUGGCCACCUGGAAACCUUGCCCUACUUCAGGUAUGUUUUUAUUCAUGCGUGCAUUUUCAGUUAUAUGUGCUACUCGUC
rnacentral:lncRNA from 1 species